UCGUUCAUCAGGCAAAGCUGUCAUUGGAUGGCCGAAGCUCAAGGCCAGCACUUAGAUGGGGCAUCUUUAUCAGGAAAAAGGCUGUUGAGAGGAGAGCGCAGCCAAUUACCAUCUAAGUCAACUCGGGACUAUGGUUUUGGACUUGCAUGGCUGACUGGGUUUAUUGAAGGUCCUGCCGUUCUAGGAUUAUGAUCCUUGAAUUUUGGGACCUCUCUUGUUGUACAGUUGAUCACUGUAGAGUAAGCUUUCUAGUUUCUAUACUUGAGUAUUCUAUAUAAUUUUUAAAAUCUUCUGAUUUUGCUUUAUAUUCUUG
rnacentral:misc_RNA from 1 species